rnacentral:rRNA from 1 species
GUCGUGCGAGAAGUAUCUUCGGAUAUGAGUAGAGCGGCGGACGGGUGAGUAACGCGUAGGAAUCUACCUAGUAGAAGGGGAUAGCCCGGGGAAACCCGGAUUAAUACCGUAUACCUCCUUCGGGAGAAAGAAGGCCUCUCUUUGAAGCUUUCGCUAUUAGAUGAGCCUGCGUAAGAUUAGCUUGUUGGUGAGGUAAAGGCUCACCAAGGCGACGAUCUUUAGCUGGUCUGAGAGGACGAUCAGCCACAUUGGGACUGAGACACGGCCCAGACUCCUACGGGAGGCAGCAGUGGGGAAUAUUGGACAAUGGGCGAAAGCCUGAUCCAGCCAUACCGCGUGUGUGAAGAAGGCCUUCGGGUUGUAAAGCACUUUAAGCAGGGAGAAAAAGUUAUAAGUUAAUACCUUAUAACCGUGAUGUUACCUGCAGAAUAAGCACCGGCUAAUUCCGUGCCAGCAGCCGCGGUAAUACGGAAGGUGCAAGCGUUAAUCGGAAUUACUGGGCGUAAAGCGCGCGUAGGUGGUUUGUUAAGUUGGAUGUGAAAGCCCUGGGCUCAACCUAGGAACUGCAUCCAAAACUAACUCACUAGAGUACGAUAGAGGGAGGUAGAAUUCAUAGUGUAGCGGUGGAAUGCGUAGAUAUUAUGAAGAAUACCAGUGGCGAAGGCGGCCUCCUGGAUCUGUACUGACACUGAGGUGCGAAAGCGUGGGUAGCGAACAGGAUUAGAUACCCUGGUAGUCCACGCCGUAAACGAUGACAACUAGCUGUUGGAAGACAAUGUUUUUCAGUGGCGCAGCUAACGUUUUAAGUUGUCCGCCUGGGGAGUACGGCCGCAAGGCUAAAACUCAAAUGAAUUGACGGGGACCCGCACAAGCGGUGGAGCAUGUGGUUUAAUUCGAUGCAACGCGAAAAGCCUUACCUACUCUUGACAUACUUGGGGAGCUCUUGUAAUGAGAGUGUGCCUUUUGGAACCAAGAUACAGGUGCUGCAUGGCUGUCGUCAGCUCGUGUCGUGAGAUGUUCCGUUAAGUCGGAUAACGAGCGCAACCCUUACCCUUAUUUGCCAGCGAU